rnacentral:Y_RNA from 1 species
GGUUGGUCUGAGUGCAGUAGUGUUUACAACUAAUUGAUCACAACCAGUUACCAGUUACAGAUUCCUUUGUUUCUUCUCCACUCCCACUGCUCCACUUGACCAGCCUAAA